CCGAGUUUACAACUCCCAAACCCCUGUGAACAUACCACUUGUUGCCUCGGCGGAUUAGCCCGCUCCCGGUAAAACGGGACGGCCCGCCAGAGGACCCCUAAACUCUGUUUCUAUAUGUAACUUCUGAGUAAAACCAUAAAUAAAUCA
rnacentral:misc_RNA from 1 species